CACAAGGGAGAUUUCUUCCGGAGAGAGGAUAGAGUUAUUAAGUCUAAAGUCCAUUAUUUGCUUUUGUCCUUCAGGAAAAGAUGGUCCUGACUCUGGGUGGAUCUAACAAGGAUUCUGGAACUCCAGUUCUGCUUUUUGGAUUUACUGGGAACUUCCCAGUCCAGACGAUUGGAAUUACAGCAUUAUACUUUGACUGGUAUAAUCUUCUGCUUUCGAUAACCAUCCUGUAACAACAAAGCCACUGCUUCGAUACGUUUAGUUUCUGGAAUUAAAAUCUUAAUCUCUCCAUUUUUAAAUUUAAUUUCUGCCUCUGAGUUCUCAAAUAGAUCUCUCCCUAACAGGAGUUUAGGAGAAUUUGGCACAUACAAAAACUGCUGAGUGACCCAUUGCUUUCCUAGUUUCAUUGUUAAAGAUUUAAAGAAGGGUCUAGUUUCUCGUUCACUUGUUGCACCACCACCACCAAUUUCUUCAAAACUUAACUCUCCCUCUAAGGUAUUU